rnacentral:rRNA from 1 species
UACGAAGGGGGCUAGCGUUGUUCGGAAUCACUGGGCGUAAAGGGCGCGUAGGCGGCCGAUCAAGUCGGGGGUGAAAGCCUGUGGCUCAACCACAGAAUUGCCUUCGAUACUGGUUGGCUUGAGACCGGAAGAGGUAAGUGGAACUGCGAGUGUAGAGGUGAAAUUCGUAGAUAUUCGCAAGAACACCAGUGGCGAGGGCGGCUUACUGGUCCGGUUCUGACGCUGAGGCGCGAAAGCGUGGGGAGCAAACAGG